GUCAUUGAAACAUGAAUAAUUCGCGUAAAAGAAAGCAUAUCCUGCAAUGUAAGCAUCACUCUUAUCAUCAUAUUUGGAUCGGAAUUCCUCAACUUCUCCCUCUACGACUGGGAAUUUAAGGUCAAACGUUGUAAGGACAGGCUUGAACCCUUCGUCAGUAGUAUUUUUAGGUUCGUCAAAAGGGGUUGGAGAGACUUCAAGUAGAAGUACUGAUGGACCGUAGAAAAGUGGAAGAGGGUUUUCCUUAAAGAGCAAAUUGGCUAAGGAAGACUCAGUAGCUUUGUAUAAAUGAGUAUAGUUAUGGUAUACAUGGAUUUGGUAAAACAAUUUGUAUAUAUGAGAAAGAUCAGAUUUUGUAGCAAGACGGACUCGUGUGUAUAUCUUUCCAGUGAUGGUAACGUCCGAUGAUGCAUCGCUGGUUAUUGAUUGUUGAAGAGCAGGAGCCAUGAGAAAGUGUUUAGUUAAAUUUGAGAGGAUUGAAAUUUAAGAUAAAAGAAAUGUUGAAAGGUUUAGUAAUGGGAUAAUAUUGUGUGUGUUUGGGAUAAUAAUAGUAAUUAUUUAUAGUGGAGAUUUUUUUAAAAAAAUAAAUAAUUAUUUGGUUAGUGAGGUUCAUGGAAAUAGGUUCCAAUGAAAAAAAAAAAGUUGGUGGAGACAAGUGUGCGUUCUAUAUCUAUUGACUGGGUCGGCUGAAGGGUCAAAUCAUUGAUGCCUUUAGUCUCAAAUUUUGUUUUUUUUUCUUAUAGAAAAAAAUAGUAGCUAGGAUAAUAUUUUUUGAGUUACCCAUCAAAAUUUGGCCACCAUUAAUUUUUUAAUGUAAUUAUGAUUAACUACUUUUUAAUAAUAAUUGUAAUAAUAAUAAAAUGGAUGGAACAAUAAUCAUGUGUAAAUAUUGUACUGCUGGAGUUUAAACUUUGACAAGUGGAACUUAAAAAAUAAUUUACUCAAAUAAACUUUCACCAUUUAAGCUUAAAAAUUGAAUAAAAUUUUAAUGAUUCGAGGAAUUCAAAUUUUAAUCAAUAAUAAUUCAUGAAAUUUCAAAUGAUAAAUAUUUCCCAAUUUUUUUGAAGCUUCAAUAAAUUGUACUUACCCUUUUUAGCCACCUAAUAUUUGUCAUCAUUAUUUCUUUAAAGACAAAAAUUUGUUCCUUCUAUACCAUGAAACAAAAGAAAAAAUUAGAGAAAAAAAGAGGGUUUUUUAACCAAACUAAGCCAUCAUAUAAACUCAUUCAUCAAAAUAAUAUGUUUUUCUAAAAUUUUACAAAGUAGUAUAAAUGUAUUCCACAGUAACGUUUUAGGAUAUAUUUUAUUUUUAAAAAGUUAAUGGCGUCAGAUUGAUAUACGUUACUUUACUCACAGUGACGUUUUACUUUUAAAACGUUACUCACAGUAAUGUUUUAGGAGUAAAACGUUACAGAAAAUAACGUUUUAAAAGUAAAAUGUUACUUACAAUAACGUAUAUCAACUUAAUGUUGUUAGUUUUAAAAAAAUAAAAUAUACCCUAAAACGUUACCGUUAAAUACGUUUAUACUAGUUUUGUAAAAUUUUAGAAAAAUAUAUUAUUUUGAUAAAUUAUUUUAUAUAAUAACUUAGUUUGGUUAAAAAUUAAAAAAACGAGUGGGAGUACACGGUGCAAUAGAUGGGUUAGCUUGGACCAUGCAAAAAAAAAAAAUCAUUAAAAUGUUAGCAAUAUUGUACGAAUAAACUGACUAUUCUUUUAACAUAAUAAAAAUAAAUAAAGAUUUUGACUUUGUAUGAAGGUAGACUUUCACCAUCCUUACACUACCAUGUUUCAAUGAAUUAAUUUAACUUCACACAACUUAAAGAAAAUAAUAAACUUUUUUGAUCUUCUAAUUCUAAAUUAAUAUAAUGUUAAAUGUAUCGCAAUGUUCUUUAAUUUUAUAGCCUUAAAUAUUCUACAUGAAAAAUUAAAAUUAAAAUAUUAUCAAAAAUAAAAAAAAAUUAUUCUUUUUUUUUAGAGGAAGCAAUAAAUAACAAUAUCGUUGUCGACGAUUUCAGCAAUAUGGAUGAAUAUUCUAUGGAUCACACAAAUGAUGUGUAUAAGUCAAGUGAAGUCGUCAACAUUGACAAUGAGUAAUGUUUACCAAGAUGCAUGAAAUUUCAACAAGGAUAAUAUAUAAGAAUCCAUAUAUAUUCACAUUGAAAAUGAACAUGCUUUAGAGAAAAUUAUUUUUCAUCUUAAAUGAACAUAUUUAUGAAUUUUCCAGGCACAUAUGUUUGCGAAAAUAGCUAGUCAAUCACGCAAAUGUGUUGAACAUUUAAGACAACGACAAUUUAGUGGGUGUGUUAAUUGAACAUAUAACAAGUUAAAAAAUUAUAUCAUAAUUUACAAAUUAAUUUUUUAUUAUUUAUUUCGAUAAUAAAGAACAAACUUUUUACAACUAUUUCAUCAUAUUCGUUUUUUUUUAUCGAUAAUUUUCAAUAUUUUUAAAAACACAUGUAAGAGUUACAAGUAGGGGUGUACAUGAUGUGGUUGGUUCAAGUUUUCCAAAUAUCGAACCAAACCAUUUGUGUUGGAUUGUUGAAUUUAUAAACCAAAUCAAACCAACAAAAAUUGAUUUUUUCAACUUUGGGAUUUUUUAAGGUUUUUUUGGAUUUUUGGGUUUAAAGUAUUCGUACAGACAUAUAAUUUACUUGUAUUUCAAAUUUUUCGUUAGACCAACCAAAAUUCAACUAUCUAAGUUAUUUUUCAAGAAAAUAACAAAAAAUAAGAUAUGAUUAAUGACACUAAAAUAUCCAACAAAAUAAUAAUAAUAAUAUCGCGUAAAACAAAUAUUGCAAAUUAAUAAGUCAUAAUGAAAUUGAUCAUAACUUAAAGUACUAAAUCAUGCUAAAAUAAGUUUAGUAAGUAUUAGUUACAUGACUAAAUAUUAAAAGAAAGUAAAAUUAGAUCAUGUAUUUUAAUUGUCUAAAUAUAUGUAAAACUAAAAAAUAAAUAUUCAAUAAUCAUUGUUAGUGUUGAAUUGAUUUUUUUUUUGUAUUAGUAUUAAUUUAUUUUUUAUUUAAACUUUAUUAUAAUUACCAACAUGUAUGGACUAUAAUCCUUAUUAGAUCAUUAAGAAUGCUAACUUCCAAAUAUGAAAUAAUAUAUUAAAAGAUAAAAACCAUGAAAAAGUAUAAAAGAUAUUUAAAAAUUGUAUCAAAGUAAGUAUUUUUAUGUAUAAAAUAAAAUUCUAAAAUUAUAUAGAUAAUGUCGGGUUGAUUUGUUCUCGGGUUGAGUUUUUUUAGUUGACACCAAAUCAAUUCAAAUAUAGUCGAAUUUUUUUCCAACACUAAACCAAGUCAAACCAAACUACUGAUCGAAUUUUUUUCAAUUUACGAUUUGAUUCGAUUUUGUACACACUUAAUAAAAGUUAGAUCAUCAUAUUUGUAUAACACAUACAUUUUUGUAGUUUUUGUACUAGUUAAAAGAUAAAGAAUUAGUUGAACGCGAAAGAUGAUACUGAUAGUAAUACAUCCGUAAAUAAAAGAAAAAAUAUAUCUAUAUUAUCUUAUAACUUGCUUCUAUAACUCGUUGAUAGCUUACUACCAUUCAAGAUGAACUUUUGACUUGUAGUUGAUUUAUCCCCCUAAGCCCGAAAUGAAAACUUUAGAAUAAUAAUAUAUCAUUAGACUAUCCUAUAGUUUUAUUUAUCUCUGGAGAACUUAUUUAGCAUAAAUCCUAUUAGAGAUAUCAAAAUAAAUAUUGGAUACUAGGAUGAUAUAGUUUUAAUAAGACAGAAUAUAUGGAGUCCCCUUAAACUUGUACCUUUUAUAUAUACAUAUAUAUUAAUAAAUCAUGGCCUAGCUGUGUUGUAUUUCAUAAAAAAAGGUGGAACAUGAGGGGAAUCGAAGUUUAUCUUCAAAAUUAAAUUUGUACUUGUUUUCUAAAUAUUGCAAAGGAAUAAACAUAUAUCUCUCCUAAUAAGUAAAGUCCAAAAAUUAGUAAAUCCUACCCCAGAAACAAAUGAAAUACAACUAUCUCCUUUUCACUUUCGAGCUUCCCGAUUUGUCUUUUUUAAUACUGGACGCAAGUGAUAAUUUAUUUAAAUUUAAAGGAGGACGAGAGCUAAAAGAAAAGUUGACAUAAACUAACGGGGUAUUCGUUGUUAUUUAUUUUAGGUGAAUGGGUAUUUAUUGAAUUAGCUUGGAUUAAGCUAUGAAAUUAUAAUUAAUUCAUAUUUUAUGGUAGUUUCCCCCAAAUUCUAAGCGUCUCUAUUGACCAUUUCCCCCCCUUUUAAUUAUUUUCACGUUAGCAGACAAGGAAGGCAUGCAUGCAAAUAGAAUGUAGUAUUAUUUUACCCUAGACCAAAUUAAAGUGGUUAAAGAGAGUAGGCGUUAAGCCAUCUAAUUUAUUUGAAAUUCGCUUGCAACGGUAAUAAUGAUCUGAUUUUCAAAAAGUCGUUAUUUUUUGUUUUUCAAACACUGAAAAAAUUUUCCUUCGCACUGUAAGCAUUUUCUCUCAAAAACAAAAAGUGUCGAUCGGAUGAGUCUGUAUGUGACUUGUUAUGUUCGCUGAAGUUAUUGAAGUUUGAGGUAUCACUACUUCUUUAACAGGUUAAUCUGUUUUAUCUUAGAAAAAAUUAAUAAAAAAGGUGAAACAUAAGGGGAAUCAAAUUUUAUCUUCAAGAUUAAAUUUGUACUUGUUUUCUAAAUUGCAAGGAUUCUAUUACUGUAGAAUAUUAUUUAAAUUCACAAUAAAUACAUUAUUGAGUAUUAUUAAGAUUUCUUAUUUAAAAAUUAAUCAUUAAUUAUUUUACAAUUGGAAAGCUAAACAAAGUUGCUACAUAUCUCUAAACCGAUAUGGCGACUUUUAAGGGACUGCACCAGUUGGACUAAUUCCAAAGACCCAAAAUUAUACCAUUGAACACACUUUCCUUUUUUAAACAUAAUUCCAAACAUUUGGGAAGAAGAUGAUGUUUGGCUCAAAAAAAUUGUAAUAUUUUUAGUUAUGCAAAAACUAAUUUUAUUAAAAUCAAAUAUAAGCUAUCAGGGCAUCUUCAACCCAAAUUUAGUGUCAAUAUCAAAUUUAAUGUAAUCAACUUCAAGUCAUUGCAUGAAAUUUUACGCCAACAAUUUUUUUUUCUCUCUCUCUUUAUUAUUUUAUUAUUAUUUCUUAUCUCAUAAAAAAACUCUUUCUAAAACAAUCAUAUAUAAGUACACAUUAAAACAAAAACAAUUUUUAGCGGCAUUAAAUAUUGACAUUAGUAAAGAGUGCUAAAGUCUUUACCGGCAUUAGUUAAGUGUCAUUAGAACCAACUUUGCUAAAACCUUUAGAGACAUAUACAAAAAGUAUCAAUUGCCGCUAAAAAUACAUAUUUAGUUCUUAAUUGCCACUAACAAUCAUUUUUGUUGUAGUGACAUUGUAUUAUUUGUUUAAAAAUUUAUAUGUUCGUAUUUUUAAUUUUUGUGAUGGUUAAUUAUAGUUUAUAUAAUUUAUAGUAGAAUUAAAAUAUUUUUAAGUUUUUAAAAGUGUCAUAUAUAGGAAAAUUAAUUUAUAAAAAGCUACAUUUUAUAUCUAAAAUGAAUAUUACAAAAAUAUUACAUAAAAAAUAACUAAAUAUACAAGAGAUUUAAUUUAAAUACAUAAUUUAUAUAAUAUUUAAUUAAAAAUUUGUAUAAUAAAAUAACAUUAUAAUAUUUAAAAAGUUAUUUGAUAUAAAAAUUGACGCGAAUGGAAGUUUAAAAUACUAAAUUUUACAUCAAAUAUAAAAUGUAAUGUAAAUUUUAGUGUUGGAUCGGAGAUGGUCUCUUUCGAGGGAUGAGAUAAGAGAGAAAGGAAAAAAGUUUCAGCAAAAUUCAAAAAUUAGUAAAUUCUACCCAGAAACCAACGAAAUACAGCUAUUUCUUUUCCCCUUUCCAGCUCACUCUUCUAAUACUCUAAGCAAGUGACAAUUUGCCUAAAUUUGAAAGGAGUGAAGGCUAAAGGGAAAUUGGCCUAAACUAGGGGGCGGGGGCAACUGAGGGAUGUAGAUCGAUACUAUUUUGUCGAAAAAUUAUAUGGUAUAAUUAGAUAAUAAUAUAUUCUUUAUGUAUAUAUAUUACAUAUUGAUACUCUUUGAUUCUACACAAUUGAACUUUUUUAUAUUUUGACACUCCUUAAUUAAAAUUUUGGCUCCGCCAUUGAGGGGUUGGAAGGGGGGAGGGUGUUAUGGAUUGCACCUAUUUUAGUAGAAUAGGUUUGCUGAAUUAAUUUCGAUUGGGCUAUGAAAUUUAAUUAGAUGAGGAAAUUGUAUGAAAUAGUAAACUAUCAAUUCAAAUUAAAUAUUAUAAUCGUAGUUUAUUUUUAUUUGUAAUUCGGAGCAAACAUCUAUUUUUUUGUCAUAUGUUUUGGUAUAUAAUUAGUCAUUUUUGGUAUACAAUUAGUCAUUUCAUAUAUUUCGGUAUAAAAUAUAUAAAAUGUGUUUGUGUUUAUAAAGCGAGAAAAUAGUGUAUAUACAAAUAUAAAUACGUAUAUUUUCGUCCUAUACACUUAUGAUUAUACAAAUACAGAUCUUAUUACACUACAACAAAAACAACUUUCAGCGGCAUUAAAUAUUAACACUAAUAAAGAGUGCUAAAGUCUUUACCGGCAUUAGUUAAGUGUCAUUAGAACCAAUUCGCUAAAGGCUUUAGGGACAUAUACAAAGAGUGGCAUUGCACUAAAAAAUCAUAUUUAUUAAAUGCUGCUAAUGGUCAUUUUUAUUGUAGUGUUAUACAAGGGAAAAAAUUAUGUGUUAAGCAAACUUAUACUAUUUAGUUACCAUCAUACCUACAGUUUGCUAUAAUUACCACUCGCGACUAACAUUAUACACUAAUUACGUAGGUUGAUUACGAAUUUGUAUAAUUAGUCACGUUUGCAUAUGUAUAAUUCGUCACAUUUGUAUAAUUCACACCUAACUGUUCUUUGUUUGAUUUGUAUUUGUAUAUGACGAUGAUUUCCUUUUAUUUUUUAUUUUUCCAUUAUACAUUCAAUCUUCUUGUGUAUAACUUUUGAAAAUUUGUAUAAACAUGUAGUUUUUGAAUUUUGUAUAAUAUAUUUUGUAUAAUUGUUUAUGUUUGUAUCAGUUCUUUAUUUUGAGUUUUAUUAUAUUUGUAUAAUUUCAGACUUUAUAUUACUCAAUUAUAUAAAAGUACGUGAAUUAUACUCGAAUUAUACAAAUUAUUGUCCUCUUUUGCUUGUGUUUCUCCUCCGUCUCUAAAUCUCGCCCGCCUCUCACCUUCCUCUCCCAAUCUCGCUCACCUCUAUCCUCCAUCUCCCAAUCUUGUUUGCCGCCUCUAUCCUCCCUUUCUCAAACUCUCUCACAAGAAUAUACAAAUACAUAUGUAUAAUAUAUAAUUAUCUAACCGAUAUACUAUACAAUCACUCCUCUCUCACUCUCUGCCCUCUCUCGCUGAUCUCUCCUCCCUCUCCUAGUCUCACCCGUCACUCUCCUCCCUAUAAUGUGUAGCUACGAAUAUAAUUAGAAAACUAUAUUUAUAAAGUGUAAUUAGACUAUUUUUGAAUGAUUAUAUGAGAAAGUUCCUAUAAAAGAAAAAAUGAACAUGGCCCACUAUUCAAAGUAUCAAACAAACAUAUAUAGUAGCCUCACAUAAUUUUUCGUUGGAAAAAUUACCUAACUAUAUAUCUUUUUUUACCCUAUUUUCUAUUAUUCUCUACCAUGUCAAAAAUUUACAAAAAUCUCAUAUUUUUUUUCAAACUCUCUUAUUUUCAGAUACAUAACUUUCAAUCUUCCAACUCCACUAUAUUCUUCCCUUUUUCAUGCAUAUUAUCGCACCACUAUAUCACUAAUUACCUUCAUCACUCCUUUAUUUUGAAUUUCAAAUAUGUGAUCUCUCAAGUUAAUGAUUUAAAGUUAAUCAAAAGGUAUCUUUUCUUUCUAGCUCUUUUUUAUGGGAAAACACGAACAAUAGGCUCAAUUUAUUGACUAUGUAUCAUAUGUUUGUUAGGUAUGUGCAUUAUUUUUUUAUAACUAAAUCAUUAUUUAUCAAAUUCAUAUUUUUUUUGUUUAAGAUACAUAGGUACGUCAAAUUAUAUGGCAUGAUAUAUAAAUAUUAAUUUAUACUAUAUGUAUCGAUCUCAAACCAUAUAAUUUAUCGGCAACAACUACAUGUUUAAUGUAUCAUGUAACAAUAAAUACUUAUCAAUUUAAAUGAGUAAUACAUAUACAUAGCAAUGUAUCACGCACUAAUUUUUUUUAGAUAUGAUAUGUAAAUUCAAAUUUAUACUAAAUGUAUCAAUUACAUAGUAACUGUUAGGCGAUAAUAUAUCUAGUAUAUAAAUAAAAUACUUAUCAAUUAAAAUGAGAUACAUAAAUUGUAAUGCAUAAUGCACUAAAAUUUUUUUAAAUAUGAUACGUAAAUUUGAACUUAUACUAAAUGUAUCGAUCUUAAAUCUAACAUCCCUUAUAGGCACAAUUAUUCAUUUAAUGUAUCUAGUAUAAAUAUAACACUUAUCAAUUUAAACAAAAUAUAUAGAUAGUAAAAUACUAAGAAACAAAGAUAUUCAUGACGUAUCUUCUCAAAAUUUUUGACAAUUUUUGAAUCAAAAUUUAAAGAAAUUUCAACAAAGUAGGAGAAAAAAUUUGAAUCUCAAAAUUUUCAACAAUUUUGAUCUUCGAUAUUCUGGGAGAAGAAAAUUCUUGAAUCUAAUUUUUUUUGACAAUAUUGAAUCAAAUUGAAAGGAUCUUCAAUGAACUUGAAGAUUCAAAAGGUAAUCGUUUGUUCAACAACAGUUCUAUCACUUUUGUAUCCUUCAUUACUGAUCUCACUUACCCAAAAUUUGGACAAUAUUUUUAAAAUCAAAUCUGAAAGAUUUCUUCGUUGAAUGGGGAGAGAAAUUUGAAAUUUUGAGUUUCUUCGUUAUGAUAGGAUCUGCCUUUGGAUGAUUGAGAGUAAGAAGAAACCCAAGUAUAAUUUAUGAGAUUUAAUUAAUUUCCAAAUUUUAUUCUCUUUUUAGCGCAACAAAAAGAUUACUCUUGUACUAGAAUUUUUGUAUCGGGAUAGUGACUUAUGUAUACAAAAGAUACAAAUUUUAAAAAAUUAUUGUAAUUACAAAAAAGUUUAUUGAAUGUAAUUUAUUCUUUACAGAGAUUUAUGUAAGUUAUAUUAAUUUUUUUUAAGUUAACGGAUGCAUAUGGGUCUGUUUGGGUGCAAGAGAUGUUUUAGCAUGGAUCAUGCACAAAAAAUAAAUGGAGAAAAUUGUAAAUAACAAACUGUUAAUUCAAAUUAAAUGUUAUAACUCAAUUUCUUUUGAUUUUAAUUCGUAGCAAAUACUUUGUCAUUCGUCUCUAUCCCUAGAAAUCUCGCUCGCCACUUUUCCUCGUCUCUCUCAUUUUAUACAAACACAAGUAUAUAAAUUGUGUUUGUAUAAAGCGAGAGAAAACUCUCUCUCUCUCUCUCUCUCUCUCUCUCUAUAUAUAUAUAUAUAUAUAUAUAUAUAUAUAUCUUUGUCCUUUACGCUUAUAAUUAUACAAUACAAAUUUUUAUCUGCUCAAUCGCUUUUGUUUUCGCUCUUUCUCGUUUUAUACAAACACAAAUUAUAUAUUGUAUAAUUUGUGUUUGUAUAAACUGAGAGAGAUUUGAUAUACAAAUACAGUUGUUUUUACUCGAUUUAAUUGUAAACGAAUUCAAAUUUUAUGCAAAUAUACAAACUCAAAAGAACAUGUACAUAUACAAAUGUAAUUUUCAUAGAAACAGACACUUGAUUUAUACAAAUCGAUGCAAUUUAUAAAAAUCAGAUGCCUGUGAUUUUAUACAAAUCAAAAUUGCAUGUGAUUUUUAUACGAAUCUGAUGCUAUAUGAGUUUUUAUUAUUUCAAAACCUAAAAUUACUUUAAAAAAUAUAAUUAAAAUGUUAACAAUAUUUUAAGAAUAAAUUCUUCUUAACAUAAUAAACAAAGAUGUUGAAUUUGUAUGAACAAAGACUUUCACCAACUUCAUACUUCUAAGAAUAAAAAAAUAUUAUCCUUGUUGACAAUUUCAGCUAUCUAUCUAUAUAUAUAUAUAUAUAUAUAUAUAUGGAUAAAUAUUCUAUGGACUACAUAAAUGAGGUGCGGAAGUCAAGUGAAGUCGUCAACAUUGACGAUGAGUAAUGUUUACCAAGAUGCAUGAAAUUUCAACAAGGAUCAUAUAUAAGAAUCCAUAUAUAUUCACACAAAAAAAAAAAAAAAAAAAAAAAAAAAAAAAUAUAUAUAUAUAUAUAUAUAUAUAUAUUCACACUGAAAAUGAACAUGCUUUAGGGUGUGUUUGGUUAGAAUGAAAUGUUUUCCAUAGAAAAUAUUUUUCUAGAAAAUAAAUAAAUUAUUGAUUUAUUUUUUCAUAUUUGGUUGAUGAUCGGUAGAAAAUAUUUUCUAAAAAAUUUUUAUAGUGCUUGAUUUAUGACUGAAAAAUACUUUUCAGAAAAUAUCUUUUAUUUUUACUAAAAAAUAUAAAAUUAUUUUUGAAUUAAAAUUGAAAAUAUUUUUAAAAAAUAAAUCAAAUUUUUUUAUGAAAAAUUUAUAAUUUGAAGUUGGAGAAAAGUCUUGAAAAGUUUUUUCUUAAUUUUUGAAGAAAAGUCAUUUUCCUUUAAUUUUGAGGAAAAUGAAUUAAUUUGGAGAAUAUUUUUUAAAAUCUUACCCAACUAAACAUGAAAAUAUUAAAAAACAUUUUCCUUUCGUACCUACAUAAAAUUAUUUUCAUUUUAAAUAAACUUAUUUAUGAAUUUUCCAGGAAUAUACGUUUCCGGAAUACGCAAUUUGUUGAACGUUUUACGACUAACGACAAUUUUAGUAGGCCUGUCAAUUUUGUAACCGUCUCAUCAUGUGUUUUUUUUUUUUUUAAUAUAUAUCAAUAUGUUUCGAUUAAUUUAUAAUAUUUUUUAAAAUAUCACGCAAAAGUCACAAGUGAAGGUUAGAUUAUGAUAUUAUACAACACAUACAUUUUUGUAGGAUUUGAAUAAAAACUCUUCUAAAUUUUUUGUAUGGAUUAAAAGGUAAUGAUUUAGAAGAACUCGAAAGAUGACCAUGAUAGUGAUGCAUCCCAUAGGAGUAUCUACUAUCUUAUAACUUGCUACUUGCUGCUAAAACUCGUUCAUAGCUUACUACCAUUCUAGAUCAACAUUCAUCCCCAAGCCCAAAGUGAAAACUUUAACAACUAGGGCGUAUGUUUAAUAGGAAAUGAAAAUAUUUUUUAAUUUUCUCAUGUUUAAUUGUGGUAAAUAUUUUAAAAAAUAUUUUAUUUUUUUUAAAAUUUAAAAAAAAUAAAUUAAGAAAAACAUUUUCCAAACUUUGUUGUAACUUUAAAUUACAUUAUUUUUUUAUUGAAAAAUUUAAUUUAUUUUUGUCCCUAUCCUCAAACCAGCCCUCCCCCCUCUCCCCUCCCAAAAAAAUAAAUAAAUAAUUUAGAGCUUGUUCUUUUAAAAAAGUUUCACUUCAAUUUUUUAUCACACCCCCCCCCCCCAAAAAAAAUAUAUAUUUCAAAAAUGUAAAAAAAUAAAAGAUAUUUUUGUAAAAUGAUUUUUCAUUUAUAAAUCAAAUACUAAAAAUCUUUUUUGAAAAAUAUUUUCUAUUCACGAAUCAGACAUGAGUAAAUAAAUCAAAAAUUAUUUUCCUUCGUAUCAAAUACACCCGCAACGUAUCAUCGGAGUAUCUCUUAGCUUUUUUCUUCUCUGGUGAAUUAUUUAGCACAAAUCUGAUUGGAGAUGUCAAAAUAAACACUGGAUACUAGAUAUAUAUAUCGUUUUAAUGAGACAGAAUACAUAGAUUCCCCUUGGAUUUGUACCCCUUCUUAAAAAAUAAAAUAUUAAAAAAGCUAUGGCCUAGAUUUGUUGUUUUUUUUUUUUUUUGGAUAAGUGGAACAUGAGAAAGACCGAACCUUAUCUUCAAAAUUAAAUUUGUACUUGCUUUUUUUUAAAAAAUAAAUAAUUGAAAAGGUCCUAUUAACUUAUAUAAUUACUCAAAUUCACAAUAAAUACAUCUAUUUCAGUCAUUUUCAUUGCAACUGUGUUCUCACGAAAGUUGAGUGCAUGAAGGAGUAAUAAUACAACCUUAAAUCAGUGUAAAAAUAUCACAUGAAAAUAUCAAUUUGAUUUUUUAAUUAAUAAAUCAGACACAUAUUUCCAUCAUCCUCAAAUCACCAUUAAAACCUUUAAACAACUUCAAAUCACCAUUAAAACCUUUGUACGACUUCCUCCCAUACGUAGAAAGACUUGUCAAAUUAGACUUUCCCUAACCGAUUAAUUCAUCUAGAUAUGUACUUGAGACAUAUUUCCAUUUAGAUAUGUGAUAUUUUCAUUUUUCGAAAGUCAAACAGUUUAAUUAUAAUCGGAAAUUUGCGUAUAAAAUUUUCAAAUUUUUUGACAUAAAAUUUAUAUAUUUAUAAACUACGUAAAGAAUACUAUAAGUCACAAUAAUUGAUAAUUCAAAAUGUUAAAAUGAUUUAUGAAAAAUUUACUUUGAAAAAUAUGCUUAAUUAAAUUUUGAAAUGCGACAAAAAAACGAGACGAAAAGAGUAAAUUAUAAGCUACUCAAACUAAAAUAUAGUUAUUUUUUCUCUAUUUACAUGUUUGAUAAUAUUACUCCUAUAUCAAAAUCUCAUCCAUUUGUCCCUCUCAAUUUAUUUUGACAAAUAUUUUAUUAUUUACUAAUAUUUUUCAAGCACAAAGAUAAUACAACUGCUUUUAGAAAAAGGAAAUUGAUAAAUUACACAAUUAAGCAAAAAAUUAAAAAAAAAUAAAAAAUUAACAGGUCUCUUCCUCAGUUUUCCCCUUAUUAUGUGCAUACUUUUGAAGAUUUUCACCGUGCAACUUUCCAUACCUAAACUCGUCAAAAAUUUCAACUCCCAUAUUUAUGUAAAAAUCAUAUGACUUCUUAUUCCAAACUGCGAUUAUUCCAUCGACCGAUACGAACCCAUUGUUCGCAGCAAUGGACGAAACUGUUCCAAACAACAAUUUCCCCAUUCCCAACUUUCUAUAACUCUCCCUGAAGUAAAGACUUUCAAAAUAAAAUCCUGGCUUGUCAUUGAAACAUGAAUAAUUCGCGUAAAAGAAAGCAUAUCCUGCAAUGUAAGCAUCACUCUUAUCAUCAUGUUUGGAUCGGAAUUCCUCAACUUGUCCUUCCACCACGGGGAAUUUAAGAUCAAACGUUGUAAGGACGGGCUUGAACGCUUGGUUAGUGGGUUCGUUAAAAGGGGUUGGAGAGACUUCAAGUAGAAGUACGGAUGGCCCAUAGAAAAGUGGAAGAGGAUUUUCUUUAAAAAGCAAGCCCUCUAAGGAGGACUC
rnacentral:lncRNA from 1 species